AAUAAAUAAAUUUUUCACUUUUUAUCUAUAAUCUUUAACUCUUCGUCUUAUUUACAUUUUUUUGUGAUUGAUAUUUUUGUUUUUAUUAGAUGAUAAAUCAUGAAUAAUAUUUUACGUGUGACUAAUUUUUUUUUAAUUUCUUAAAUAUUUUUUAAAUAAGACGGAUGGUGAAAUGCUGGUCACAAAGACC
rnacentral:pre_miRNA from 1 species